rnacentral:rRNA from 1 species
UACGUAGGGUGCGAGCGUUAAUCGGAAUUACUGGGCGUAAAGCGUGCGCAGGCGGUUCGUUGUGUCGGUGGUGAAAUCCCCGGGCUUAACUCGGGGCCUGCAGGCGAAACUGUGGUGCUGGAGUAUGGGAGAGGUGCGUGGAAUUCCCGGUGUAGCGGUGAAAUGCGUAGAUAUUGGGAGGAACACCAGUGGCGAAGGCGGCUCACUGGACCGGUACUGACGCUGAUGCGCGAAAGCGUGGGGAGCAAACGGG